rnacentral:rRNA from 1 species
CACGUAGGGGCCAAGCGUUGUCCGGAUUUAUGGGCGUAAAGAGCUCGUAGGCGGUUUGUCGCGUCUGCUGUGAAAACCCGAGGCUCAACCUCGGGCCUGCAGUGGGUACGGGCAGACUAGAGUGCGGUAGGGGAGAUUGGAAUUCCUGGUGUAGCGGUGGAAUGCGCAGAUAUCAGGAGGAACACCAAUGGCGAAGGCAGAUCUCUGGGCCGUAACUGACGCUGAGGAGCGAAAGCAUGGGGAGCGAACAGG